UCCGAUGUAGUCUAGUGGUUAUGAUUUGCGGCUCUCACCCGCAAGGGUUCGAUUCCCGGCAUCGGAA
rnacentral:tRNA from 1 species